GGGGAUGUAGCUCAAUUGGUAGAGCAUUAUUCAAUGCGGAAUAGAGACACGAGGUUCGAUUCCUCGCAUCUCCA
rnacentral:tRNA from 2 species